ACGUGCGCUCAUACCAGCACUAAUUCACCGGAUCCCACCAUAACUCCGUAGUUAAGCGUGCUUGGGCGAGAGUAGUACUAAUAUGGGUGACCUCCUAGGAAGUCCUCAUGUUGCACCUC
rfam:Lupinus angustifolius cultivar Tanjil chromosome LG15, whole genome shotgun sequence.